UAGGGAAUAUUGCACAAUGGGCGAAAGCCUGAUGCAGCAACGCCGCGUGCGCGACGAAGGCCUUCGGGUCGUAAAGCGCUUUUCGGGGAGAUGAGGAAGGACAGUAUCCCCGGAAGAAGGCUCGGCUAACUACGUGCCAGCAGCCGCGGUAAAACGUAGGAGCCAAGCGUUAUCCGAAUUCACUGGGCGUAAAGCGCGUGCAGGCGGCCUGGUAAGUUGGAUGUGAAAUCUCCUGGCUCAACUGGGAGAGGACGUUCAAUACUGUCGGGCUAGAGGAUGGCAGAGGGAGGUGGAAUUCCCGGUGUAGUGGUGAAAUGCGUAGAUAUCGGGAGGAACACCAGUGGCGAAGGCGGCCUUCUGGGCCAUAACUGACGCUCAGACGCGAAAGCUAGGGGAGCGAACG
rnacentral:rRNA from 1 species